GAUGAACGCUGGCGGCGUGCCUAAUACAUGCAAGUCGAGCGAACAGACGAGGAGCUUGCUCCUCUGACGUUAGCGGAGGACGGGUGAGAAACACGUGGAUCACCUACCUAUCAGACUGGGAUAACUUCGGGAAACCGGCGCUAAUACCGGAUAAUAUAUUGAACCGCAUGGGUCAAUAGUGAAAGACGGUUUUGCGGUCACUUCUCGAUGGAUCCUCGCCGCAUUAGCUAGUUGGUAAGGUAACGGCUUACCAAGGCAACGAUGCGUAGCCGACCUGAGAGGCUGGUCGGCCACCCUGGAACGGAGACACGGACCAGACUCCUGCGGGAGGCAGCAGUAUGGAAUCUUCCGCAAUGGGCGAAAGCCUGGCGGAGCAACGCCGCGUGAGUGAUGACGGUCUUCGGAUCGUAAAGCUCUGUUAUUAGUGAAGAACAACUGUGUAAGUAACUAUGCACGUCUUGACGGUACCUGAUCAGAAAGCCCCGGCUAACUACGUG
rnacentral:rRNA from 1 species